UUCAAUUACAGCUAUUAUGCAUGGAGCGCACCACUUCAGUUUGAUCACAGUCUGAAUCAGAGGCUGCUCCCACAUCUGCCCACAAUUCUGUGGAUCACAGUGGCGGAAUCAAUCAACUGGAUCAUGCUGCGACCCAGAAUGUGUGUGAGGUGAAUUGCAUCAUGGUCUGGGGGACUGUAGACUUUCUGAUACAUCAUGGUUUGGAGCACCCAAAAGUGUGGCAGGACAGCAGAAAGAAGCUGGAACAAAUGGACAUAGGAAGAACAUACACACAUAGAAAGACUUGUAGGCCUGUGGAUCCCAACCCAAGACUUUCUUGCUGUGAAGCAACAAUGCUAACCAUUGAGUCAUUGAUGCCAGCCCAUAUUCUAUUUAGUUAUUUCAUUUAUUCAUUUUUCUUGAAGAAUGUCAGUCAAUUGUUCAGCCACUCAUCAGUCUAACUCAAAAUAUUUCCAACAACUACUGGACAGAUUUUGAUGGUUCCCAGAGGUUGACUCCUAAUCAUUCUGGUGACCCCUUCACCUUCCCUCUUGCACCACCAAAAUUUCCACUUAAAUAAAUGAAAUUGCCAUGACAUAUAUUGAUAACAUUCAUGCUCCCCAGAGGAUGAUGCCGUUUUUGUUUUGGAUAAUCCAUCAGUUUUCCUCUAGCACCAAACUUAGUCCAAAGAGUUGACUUUGCACACAAGAUUCUGCAUCACAUUAUGUGAUUGGUAGAUUAGCUUGAAAUCUCUGAGCAUUCAUGCUCCCAAAAAUGCAAACCUCUUUUUAUUGUAAUGUACACAUAGCCUUUCCUCGGGACAAAUAGUAAGGCUCUCAUUGUAAAUAUGUUUCAUUGUAUCCAAAGAAUUAUGUUCAUGUUGGACGAUUUAUGUCCGGUGUCCGGCCAACAUUCUCUGUCAAUGCAGAAAGUAGUGUGUACUUUAUGUAGCAAAGGAAAGUCCCGUCACCACCACAAUCUUACAUUUAAUAACCUUAACCACUUUAAAAACAUUGGUAUUGGACAUUAAAACAAACCAACAUAAUAUUGUGAACAAAAUUUGGGGUUUUGCACAUUCAUCCAACACAUUCUUUUCCGGAGACACAGUUGUUCAUCUACAAUUGUUUGUUCUGAAUUGUAGGGUUUAAUGAUCAUUCCAGUCUGUAGGAACCUCUUCCAGCUUCAGUCUGUGUUUUUUUUUUUUUGUUAUGUUUUGUUUUUGUACUAUAUCCUAGAGUUCGCCUGCUAGCUGGUAGGUAACUUUUGUAGUAAUGCCUAAGAAGCUGUAAACUGUAAAAUAAAAUGUCUCUAACUUGA